GACGAACGCUGGCGGCGUGCUUAACACAUGCAAGUCGAACGGAAAGGCCCUGCGUUUGUGGGGUGCUCGAUUGGCGAACGGGGGAGUAACACGUGAGUAACCUGCCCUUAACUUUGGGAUAACUUCAGGGAACUGGGGAUAAUACCGCAUAGGAUCUCCUGCAGCAUGGGGGGGGUUGGAAAGUUUCGGCGGUUGGGUAUGGACUCGCGGCUUAUCAGCUUGUUGGUGUGGUAGUGCAUUACCAAGGCUUUGACGGGUAGCCCGCCUGAGAGGGUGAGCGGCCACCCUGGGACUGAGAUAAGGCAGAGACUGCUACGCGAGGGAGCAGUGGGGAAGAUUGCAGGAUGGGCGGAAGGCUGAUGCAGCAACGCCGCGUGCGGGAUAACGGUCUUAGGGUUGUAGAACGCUUUCGCAUGUGACGAAGCGUGAGUGAAGGUAAUGGGUACAGAAGCACCGGCUAACUACGUG
rnacentral:rRNA from 1 species